UUCCCCUUCUCCUCUGCACCCCCUUUCCUGGCCCUCGGGUCAGCAGGGCGGCUGUGCCAGGCCAGGGGGCGGGAAUGUGCUGGGGCAGGUCCCUGCUCUCGCUCUGGCAGGUGAGUCACCCCGUGGGAGUGUGUUGAUGAAUCCAAGGCCCGGCUCUUUGUUUUCGGCUCCUGGGAAUUCACACACUGGGCGCAGACACCCUGGAGAGAUGGGAGUCAGAGGCCUGGGUUCUAAUUCCAACUUCACCACCAUCUGGCUGCUUAAAGCCAUUGUACAGUGGCACGGCGCCCGCGCUCCGUGGGGUGACACGAACCCUGCGGGCCAGACGAAGGACGUUCCUGCGGAGACGGGCGAUGGCAGGGGGAUGAUGAAGAAUGACGAGAGACCCCCAGAUGCCCGCCCCCCGCCCCCCGUCCCGGAGGUGGCUGGAGAAGGGCAACGCUUGAACCCAGGCCUCCUGAUCCAGGGCCGUGUUCUUCCCCGCCCACCUCCCGGACCAGCGCAUGGCCUGUGAGCCGAGACCCCCUCGUUGGACGGAGCCGGAGGAGACGGGGAGCUGAUGCGAGCCGUCCGGCGGGAGAGGAAAGCAAGAGGAGGCCGAGAUCAGAAACAAGUUCAUGUCCGGCCUGAGGACUCUGUUAGACACGGGCGAGUAAGGAAUCGUACGCUGUCACUGAAUGUAGCUGUCAGUGUACCGACAGGAGAAAUGCUCAGAACACACCAGAGGGAAAAACAGGUGUCACACGGUCCGAGGCCGUGCUGUCUCCCUGGUGGAG